GAUGUAGAGGAUGGGCAUGAGGAAGACGUUGAGGAGUCAGAACUGGAGGAGGGAAAAAGCAUUCAGGUAAGUGGUAAAAAUGAGAAAGGGCGUGAAGAGUUAAAGAGGAUGGGGUCUGUGAGUAACCAGAGAGGUAGAGGAAAGAGUUCUAAAAGGUCUAUUGCAAACACUAGAGAUUUGAGACAAGCAGUUGUGGCGAACCAAAACAAAAAGGCUUCCUCU
rnacentral:lncRNA from 1 species